rnacentral:rRNA from 1 species
AGAGUUUGAUCCUGGCUCAGGAUGAACGCUAGCGGCAGGCUUAACACAUGCAAGUCGAGGGGCAUCGGGAGUAGCAAUACUUGCCGGCGACCGGCGCAAGGGUGCGUAACGCGUGAGCAACAUGCCCGUAUCAGGGGGAUAAUCCAUGGAAACGUGGUCUAAUACCCCAUAGUAAUUAUGUAAGGCAUCUUAUAUAAUUUAAAGCUUUGGUGGAUACGGAUUGGCUCGCGUGACAUUAGCUGGAUGGUAAGGUAACGGCUUACCAUGGCUACGAUGUCUAGGGGUUCUGAGAGGAAGGUCCCCCACACUGGAACUGAGACACGGUCCAGACUCCUACGGGAGGCAGCAGUGAGGAAUAUUGGACAAUGGAUGGAAAUCUGAUCCAGCCAUGCCGCGUGCAGGAAGACGGCCCUAUGGGUUGUAAACUGCUUUUGUAUGGGAGCAAUAAGGGCUACGUGUAGUCCGAUGAGAGUACCAUACGAAUAAGCACCGGCUAACUCCGUGCCAGCAGCCGCGGUAAUACGGAGGGUGCAAGCGUUAUCCGGAUUUAUUGGGUUUAAAGGGUGCGUAGGCGGUUUGAUAAGUCAGCGGUGAAAUAUUUCAGCUUAACUGGAAGGGUGCCGUUGAUACUGUCGAGCUUGAAUUUAGUUGCUGUGGGUGGAAUGUGUGGUGUAGCGGUGAAAUGCAUAGAUAUCACACAGAAUAUCGAUUGCGAAGGCAGCUCACAAAGCUAAUAUUGACGCUGAUGCACGAAAGUGUGGGGAUCAAACAGGAUUAGAUACCCUG